rnacentral:rRNA from 1 species
GUGGUUUAAUUCGAUGCAACGCGAAGAACUUACCUGGUCUUGACAUCCCGGAGACCCUUAGGAACAGGGGUGCUUCCAUCUGGAGAAUCUGGAGACAGGUGCUGCAUGGCUGUCGUCAGCUCGUGUCGUGAGAUGUUGGGUUAAGUCCCGCAACGAGCGCAACCCUUGCCUUUAGUUGCCAGCAGUUCGGCUGGGCACUCUAAAGGGACUGCCGGUGUUAAACCGGAGGAAGGUGGGGAUGACGUCAAGUCCUCAUGGCCUUUAUGACCAGGGCUACACACGUACUACAAUGGCCGAUACAAAGGGCAGCGACACUGCGAGGUGAAGCCAAUCCCGUAAAAUCGGUCUCAGUCCGGAUUGGAGUCUGCAACUCGACUCCAUGAAGUUGGAAUCGCUAGUAAUCGUGGAUCAGCAUGCCACGGUGAAUACGUUCCCGGGCCUU